rnacentral:rRNA from 1 species
AUUGAACGCUGGCGGCAGGCUUAACACAUGCAAGUCGAGCGGAGUGAUGGUGCUUGCACUAUCACUUAGCGGCGGACGGGUGAGUAAUGCUUAGGAAUCUGCCAUUUAGUGGGGGACAACAUUCCGAAAGGAAUGCUAAUACCGCAUACGUCCUACGGGAGAAAGCAGGGGAUCUUCGGACCUUGCGCUAAAUGAUGAGCCUAAGUCGGAUUAGCUAGUUGGUGGGGUAAAGGCCUACCAAGGCGACGAUCUGUAGCGGGUCUGAGAGGAUGAGCCGCCACACUGGGACUGAGACACGGCCCAGACUCCUACGGGAGGCAGCAGUGGGGAAUAUUGGACAAUGGGCGGAAGCCUGAUCCAGCCAUGCCGCGUGUGUGAAGAAGGCCUUUUGGUUGUAAAGCACUUUAAGCGAGGAGGAGGCUACUAGUACUAAUACUACUGGAUAGUGGACGUUACUCGCAGAAUAAGCACCGGCUAACUCUGUGCCAGCCGCCGCAGUAAAAC